rnacentral:tRNA from 1 species
GCUGGCAUGGCGGAAUAGGCAGACGCAAGGGACUUAAAAUCCCUCGGGGGCGACCCCGUGCCGGUUCAAGUCCGGCUGCCAGCA